GAUUGAACGCUGGCGGCAGGCCUAACACAUGCAAGUCGAACGGUAACAGGAAGCAGCUUGCUGCUUCGCUGACGAGUGGCGGACGGGUGAGUAAUGUCUGGGAAACUGCCUGAUGGAGGGGGAUAACUACUGGAAACGGUAGCUAAUACCGCAUAACGUCGCAAGACCAAAGAGGGGGACCUUCGGGCCUCUUGCCAUCGGAUGUGCCCAGAUGGGAUUAGCUAGUAGGUGGGGUAACGGCUCACCUAGGCGACGAUCCCUAGCUGGUCUGAGAGGAUGACCAGCCACACUGGAACUGAGACACGGUCCAGACUCCUACGGGAGGCAGCAGUGGGGAAUAUUGCACAAUGGGCGCAAGCCUGAUGCAGCCAUGCCGCGUGUAUGAAGAAGGCCUUCGGGUUGUAAAGUACUUUCAGCGGGGAGGAAGGCGAUAAGGUUAAUAACCUUGUCGAUUGACGUUACCCGCAGAAGAAGCACCGGCUAACUCCGUGCCAGCAGCCGCGGUAAUACGGAGGGUGCAAGCGUUAAUCGGAAUUACUGGGCGUAAAGCGCACGCAGGCGGUCUGUCAAGUCGGAUGUGAAAUCCCCGGGCUCAACCUGGGAACUGCAUUCGAAACUGGCAGGCUAGAGUCUUGUAGAGGGGGGUAGAAUUCCCAGGUGUAGCGGUGAAAUGCGUAGAGAUCUGGAGGAAUACCGGUGGCGAAGGCGGGCCCCCUGGACAAAGACUGACGCUCAGGUGCGAAAGCGUGGGGAGCAAACAGGGAUUAGAUACCCUGGUAGUCCACGCCGUAAACGAUGUCGACUUGGAGGUUGUGCCCUUGAGGCGUGGCUUCCGGAGCUAACGCGUUAAGUCGACCGCCUGGGGAGUACGGCCGCAAGGUUAAAACUCAAAUGAAUUGACGGGGGCCCGCACAAGCGGUGGAGCAUGUGGUUUAAUUCGAUGCAACGCGAAGAACCUUACCUACUCUUGACAUCCAGAGAACUUUCCAGAGAUGGAUUGGUGCCUUCGGGAACUCUGAGACAGGUGCUGCAUGGCUGUCGUCAGCUCGUGUUGUGAAAUGUUGGGUUAAGUCCCGCAACGAGCGCAACCCUUAUCCUUUGUUGCCAGCGGUUAGGCCGGGAACUCAAAGGAGACUGCCAGUGAUAAACUGGAGGAAGGUGGGGAUGACGUCAAGUCAUCAUGGCCCUUACGAGUAGGGCUACACACGUGCUACAAUGGCGCAUACAAAGAGAAGCGACCUCGCGAGAGCAAGCGGACCUCAUAAAGUGCGUCGUAGUCCGGAUUGGAGUCUGCAACUCGACUCCAUGAAGUCGGAAUCGCUAGUAAUCGUGGAUCAGAAUGCCACGGUGAAUACGUUCCCGGGCCUUGUACACACCGCCCGUC
rnacentral:rRNA from 1 species